AGUGAACGCUGGCGGUAGGCCUAACACAUGCAAGUCGAACGGCAGCACAGUAAGAGCUUGCUCUUACGGGUGGCGAGUGGCGGACGGGUGAGGAAUACAUCGGAAUCUACUUUUUCGUGGGGGAUAACGUAGGGAAACUUACGCUAAUACCGCAUACGACCUACGGGUGAAAGCAGGGGAUCUUCGGACCUUGCGCGAUUGAAUGAGCCGAUGUCGGAUUAGCUAGUUGGCGGGGUAAAGGCCCACCAAGGCGACGAUCCGUAGCUGGUCUGAGAGGAUGAUCAGCCACACUGGAACUGAGACACGGUCCAGACUCCUACAGGAGGCAGCAGUGGGGAAUAUUGGACGAAGGGCGCAAGCCUGAUCCAGCCAUACCGCGUGGGUGAAGAAGGCCUUCGGGUUGUAAAGCCCUUUUGUUGGGAAAGAAAAGCAGCAGGUUAAUACCCCGCUGUUCUGACGGUACCCAAAGAAUAAGCACCGGCUAACUUCGUG
rnacentral:rRNA from 1 species